rnacentral:rRNA from 1 species
UUGGGAAUCUUGGACAAUGGGGGAAACCCUGAUCCAGCCAUGCCGCGUGAGUGAUGAAGGCCUUCGGGUUGUAAAACUCUUUCGACGGGGACGAUAAUGACGGUACCCGUAGAAGAAGCUCCGGCUAACUUCGUGCCAGCAGCCGCGGUAAUACGAAGGGGGCUAGCGUUGUUCGGAAUUACUGGGCGUAAAGCGCGCGCAGGCGGUCUUCCAAGUCAGUGGUGAAAGCCUGGAGCUCAACUCCAGAACUGCCAUUGAAACUGUUGGACUUGAGUACGAGAGAGGUGAGUGGAAUUCCCAGUGUAGAGGUGAAAUUCGUAGAUAUUGGGAAGAACACCAGUGGCGAAGGCGGCUGACUGGACAAGUAUUGACGCUGAGGUGCGAAAGCGUGGGGAGCAAA